GGUUAAGCGACUAAGCGUACACGGUGGAUGCCCUGGCAGUCAGAGGCGAUGAAGGACGUGCUAAUCUGCGAUAAGCGUCGGUGAGGUGAUAUGAACCGUUAUAACCGGCGAUUUCCGAAUGGGGAAACCCAGUGUGUUUCGACACACUAUCAUUAACUGAAUCCAUAGGUUAAUGAGGCGAACCGGGGGAACUGAAACAUCUAAGUACCCCGAGGAAAAGAAAUCAACCGAGAUUCCCCCAGUAGCGGCGAGCGAACGGGGAGGAGCCCAGAGCCUGAAUCAGUGUGUGUGUUAGUGGAAGCGUCUGGAAAGGCGCGCGAUACAGGGUGACAGCCCCGUACACAAAAAUGCACAUAUUGUGAGCUCGAUGAGUAGGGCGGGACACGUGGUAUCCUGUCUGAAUAUGGGGGGACCAUCCUCCAAGGCUAAAUACUCCUGACUGACCGAUAGUGAACCAGUACCGUGAGGGAAAGGCGAAAAGAACCCCGGCGAGGGGAGUGAAAAAGAACCUGAAACCGUGUACGUACAAGCAGUGGGAGCCUCUUAAUGGGGUGACUGCGUACCUUUUGUAUAAUGGGUCAGCGACUUAUAUUCUGUAGCAAGGUUAACCGAAUAGGGGAGCCGAAGGGAAACCGAGUCUUAACUGGGCGUUAAGUUGCAGGGUAUAGACCCGAAACCCGGUGAUCUAGCCAUGGGCAGGUUGAAGGUUGGGUAACACUAACUGGAGGACCGAACCGACUAAUGUUGAAAAAUUAGCGGAUGACUUGUGGCUGGGGGUGAAAGGCCAAUCAAACCGGGAGAUAGCUGGUUCUCCCCGAAAGCUAUUUAGGUAGCGCCUCGUGAAUUCAUCUCCGGGGGUAGAGCACUGUUUCGGCAAGGGGGUCAUCCCGACUUACCAACCCGAUGCAAACUGCGAAUACCGGAGAA
rnacentral:rRNA from 1 species